rnacentral:sRNA from 12 species
UCAAAUAAUCUAACAACUUUCCUAGAAAGUCGAUUAAUUAAUCUUCAUUGAAGCUAUUAAGAGGAUUGCCCUUUGAGGUUGUAGCAAUAGUCAGUCGCACUAUGGUUAAUCAAUGCAUUAUUUGA